rnacentral:rRNA from 1 species
AUUGGAUCCAGACUUUGAUUAUGGCUCAGGAUGAACGCUAGCUACAGGCUUAACACAUGCAAGUCGAGGGGAAACGACAGUAAAGCUUGCUUUAUUGGGCGUCGACCGGCGCACGGGUGCGUAACGCGUAUCCAACCUGCCCCCAACUCCGGAAUAGUCCCCCGAAAGGGGGGUUAACACCGGAUGCUGCAGCUGCUCCGCAUGGUGAAGUUGCGAAAUGAAAAAGGUUGGGGCUGGGGAUGCGUCCCAUUAGGUAGUAGGCGGGGUAACGGCCCACCUAGCCGACGAUGGGUAGGGGUUCUGAGAGGAAGGUCCCCCACAUUGGAACUGAGACACGGUCCAAACUUCUACGGGAGGCAGCAGUGAGGAAUAUUGGUCAAUGGGCGAGAGCCUGAACCAGCCAAGUAGCGUGUGGGAAGAAUGCCCUAUGGGUUGUAAACCACUUUUGCAGGAGGGUAAAAUGCUUCACGUGUGGAGUAUUGCAAGUAUCCUGCGAAUAAGGACCGGCUAAUUCCGUGCCAGCAGCCGCGGUAAUACGGAAGGUCCAGGCGUUAUCCGGAUUUAUUGGGUUUAAAGGGAGCGUAGGCGGGGAGUCAAGUCAGUUGUGAAAAGCCACGGCCCAACCGUGGUCGUGCAGUUGAAACUGGUUCUCUUGAGUGCGCACGAGGACGGUGGAAUUCGUGGUGUAGCGGUGAAAUGCUUAGAUAUCACGAAGAACUCCGAUUGCGAAGGCAGCCGUCCGGAGCGUUACUGACGCUGAGGCUCGAAGGUGCGGGUAUCAAACAGGAUUAGAUACCCUGGUAGUCCGCACAGUAAACGAUGGAUGCCGGCUGUCGGCGACAGAAUGUCGGUGGCCACGCGAAAGUUUUAAGCAUCCCACCUGGGGAGUACGCCGGCAACGGUGCAACUCAAAUGAAUUGACGGA